rnacentral:rRNA from 1 species
AACGAACGCUGGCGGCAUGCCUAACACAUGCAAGUCGAACGAUGCCUUCGGGCAUAUUGGCGCACGGGUUCGUAACGCGUGGGAAUCUGCCUUUCUGUUCGGAAUAACUCAGGGAAACUUGAGCUAAUACCGGUUAACGUCUCAAGACCAAAGAUUUAUCACCGAAAGAUGAGCCCGCGUAGGAUUAGCUAGUUGGUUAGGUAAAGGCUCACCAAGGCUACGAUCCUUAGCUGGUCUGAGAGGAUGAUCAGCCACACUGGGACUGAGACACGGCCCAGACUACUACGGGAGGCAGCAGUGGGGAAUAUUGGAAAAUGGGCGAAAGCAUGAUCAAGCAAUGCCGCGUGAGUGAUGAAGGCCUUAGGGUUGUAAAGCUCAUUUACCCGGGAAGAUAAUGACGGUACCGGGAGAAUAAGCACCGGCUAACUCCGUG